rnacentral:lncRNA from 1 species
GCGCACUUCUAGGGCAGUGAAAAUCAAUCAUAGGUCGUACAAGACCCAUCUACAUCACCUUUUGACUUGUACUUUGAAUUUGAUUCUGCAUGAUGAUCAGAUUCUACAUCACCUUUGAUUUUUUCCCUUGCUAGCAUAAAUACAUUAUUUCAAAAAAAAUUAGAUGCUUUUCAUCACUGGCCAUCAACCUCGGCGUAUCAACCAUGUAGAACUCCUAGAGAAAGGUCGCAUGCCACGUGCAUAACAGUGCCAUGACUGGUUGUAGGCUGUCCGCAAACUUGCACAUCUCCUCAUCCCUGCCCUCGUGCUCCUCGGCUGCGUCCUCCAUGAUGUCGGUGAGAUCUUCGAUGUUGGUGAUCAGAUGGGUGGUGGGUGUGUCACAAAAAUUGAUUAAUUGUUGGGCAUGACCACGACUCGAUGCCAUGCCUUGAAGAAUCAACCCGCUGUAGGAAAGAUGUCACACUAGCAUUUGGUCGAAGCUUGAUUCGCUAUUGUUUGUGGCCCAACAAGAUUAU